AGCCGCGGUAAUUCCAGCUCCAAUAGCGUAUAUUAAAGUUGCUGCAGUUAAAAAGCUCGUAGUUGAAUUUCGGGACCAUCAUGUCGGUCGUGCCUCGGUACGUACUGGCAUUGUUGGUUUCUCCCUUCUGACGAACCAUGAUGUCAUUUAUUUGGUGUUGUGGGGAAUCAGGACUGUUACUUUGAAAAAAUUAGAGUGUUUAAAGCAGGCUCACGCUUGAAUACAUUAGCAUGGAAUAAUGAAAUAGGACGUUUGAUUCUAUUUUGUUGGUUUCUAGGAUCGACGUAAUGAUUAAUAGGGAUAGUUGGGGGCAUUAGUAUUCAAUUGUCAGAGGUGAAAUUCUUGGAUUUAUUGAAGACUAACUACUGCGAAAGCAUUUGCCAAGGAUGUUUUCAUUAAUCAAGAACGAAAGUUAGGGGAUCGAAGACGAUCAGAUACCGUCGUAGUCUUAACCAUAAACUAUGCCGACUAGGGAUCGGAUGAUGUUAAUUUUUUAAUGACUCAUUCGGCGCCUUACG
rnacentral:misc_RNA from 1 species